UACGUAGGGGGCUAGCGUUGUCCGGAUUUAUUGGGCGUAAAGAGCGUGUAGGCGGCCAGGUAGGUCUGCUGUGAAAACUCGAGGCUUAACCUCGAGCUGUCGGCGGAAACCAUCUGGCUAGAGUCCGGAAGAGGAGAAUGGAAUUCCCGGUGUAGCGGUGAAAUGCGCAGAUAUCGGGAAGAACACCCGUGGCGAAGGCGGCCAGCUAGACCAGUUCUGACACUGAGGCGCGACAGCGUGGGGAGCAAACAGG
rnacentral:rRNA from 1 species